CAUAAGCACACUGAGUAGGCCUCGCGUCGGAUGAAUGGUUCAGGUGGUAUGCACCCUGCUCAAAUGACUUGACUUUUGGAAAAGUAACAGAAAUUAGAGAUCUGUGACAACAAUCUAGUUAUGGUCCAACAAGAACCAUCUUUCUGUGCAUCAUCAACUCCAUCAGCCAGAAAAAGCAACAUGCUUUCUCCUGUCUACUAUGUGCCAAGACACUUCAGAGGAAUUGUGAUUGAAUUGGCAGCACAACAAGGAAUAGGCCCUGGAAAGUACCAUUCGGAAAGAAGUGCUGCUUGCCCAGCCUGUCCAUCUCGGGUCCAGGAUCCUAGACACUCCAGAUGCUUGGAUCGCAAGGUACAAAUAUCCACUUCUUGUGAGCCUGGGUUUUACAAAACAACAUUAGGUAUGACU
rnacentral:lncRNA from 1 species